rnacentral:tRNA from 1 species
GGGGAUGUAGCUUAGUAGUAGAACACGUGCCUAGCAUGCACGAGGCCCUGGAUUUCAUCUCCAGCAUCACCA